CAGACCAGUGGCCACUGCUGCCAGCUCAGCCCUGUAAUGGGUUUCCUGGGUUGAGAUGUCUGGGGAAGGGCCCAAUAUCAAACCUUUAAACUGAAUUAGUUGUCUGAGAAGGCCAUGUGCCGUAACAUUUAAACUUGUUAAAACUUUCAACAACGGAUCUCUUGGCUCUCGCAUCGAUGAAGAACGCAGCGAAAUGCGAUAAGUAAUGUGAAUUGCAGAAUUCAGUGAAUCAUCGAAUCUUUGAACGCACAUUGCGCCCUUUGGUAUUCCUUAGGGCAUGCCUGUUCGAGCGUCACUAAAAACCCUCUCACAGAUAAUGUGGUAUUGGUAGAAGUGGAUAGUACUAACACUACCCAAUCUUACUCUACUCAAA
rnacentral:misc_RNA from 1 species